rnacentral:rRNA from 1 species
GGAUUGGUGCCCGAAAGGGAGCCUGGACACAGGUGCUGCAUGGCUGUCGUCAGCUCGUGUCGUGAGAUGUUGGGUUAAGUCCCGCAACGAGCGCAACCCUUGUCAUUAAUUGCCAUCAUUUAGUUGGGCACUUUAAUGAGACUGCCGGUGACAAACCGGAGGAAGGUGGGGAUGACGUCAAGUCCUCAUGGCCCUUAUGGGUAGGGCUUCACACGUCAUACAAUGGUCGGUACAGAGGGUUGCCAAGCCGCGAGGUGGAGCCAAUCCCAGAAAGCCGAUCGUAGUCCGGAUCGCAGUCUGCAACUCGACUGCGUGAAGUCGGAAUCGCUAGUAAUCGCGGAUCAGCAUGUCGCGGUGAAUACGUUCCCGGGUCUUGUACACACCGCCCGUCACACCAUGGGAGUGGGUUCUACCAGAAGUAGUUAGCCUAACCGUAAGGAGGGCGAUUACCACGGUAGGAUUCAUGACUGGGGUGAAGUCG